rnacentral:rRNA from 1 species
CUACGGGAGGCAGCAGUGGGGAAUAUUGCACAAUGGGGGAAACCCUGAUGCAGCAACGCCGCGUGAGCGAUGAAGGCCUUCGGGUCGUAAAGCUCUGUCCUAAGGGAAGAAAUUUGACGGUACCUUAGGAGGAAGCCCCGGCUAACUACGUGCCAGCAGCCGCGGUAAUACGUAGGGGGCAAGCGUUAUCCGGGAUCACUGGGCGUAAAGGGUGCGUAGGCGGUCUUACAAGUCAGGGGUGAAAGGCUACGGCUCAACCGUAGUAAGCCUUUGAAACUGUAGGACUUGAGUGCAGGAGAGGAAAGUGGAAUUCCUAGUGUAGCGGUGAAAUGCGUAGAUAUUAGGAGGAACACCAGUGGCGAAGGCGACUUUCUGGACUGUAACUGACGCUGAGGCACGAAAGUGUGGGGAGCAAACAGGAUUAGAAACCCCUGUAGUCC